AUUGCCCUAGUAACGGCGAGUGAAGCGGCAACAGCUCAAAUUUGAAAUCUGGCUUCGGCCCGAGUUGUAAUUUGCAGAGGAAGCUUUAGGCGCGGCACCUUCUGAGUCCCCUGGAACGGGGCGCCAUAGAGGGUGAGAGCCCCGUAUAGUUGGAUGCCUAGCCUGUGUAAAGCUCCUUCGACGAGUCGAGUAGUUUGGGAAUGCUGCUCAAAAUGGGAGGUAAAUUUCUUCUAAAGCUAAAUACCGGCCAGAGACCGAUAGCGCACAAGUAGAGUGAUCGAAAGAUGAAAAGCACUUUGAAAAGAGGGUUAAAUAGCACGUGAAAUUGUUGAAAGGGAAGCGCUUGUGACCAGACUUGCGCCGGGCGGAUCAUCCGGUGUUCUCACCGGUGCACUCCGCCCGGCUCAGGCCAGCAUCGGUUCUCGCGGGGGGAUAAAGGUCCUGGGAACGUAGCUCCUCCGGGAGUGUUAUAGCCCGGGGCGUAAUGCCCUCGCGGGGACCGAGGUUCGCGCAUCUGCAAGGAUGCUGGCGUAAUGGUCAUCAGCGACCCGUCUUGAAACACGGACCCCUGUGUGAAAUUGUAAUCCGC
rnacentral:rRNA from 1 species